rnacentral:rRNA from 1 species
UACGUAGGGCCCGAGCAUUAUCCGGAAUUAUUGGGCGUAAAGAGCGUGUAGGUGUUCCAUCAAGUCGGUCGUUAAAUCUCAGAGCUCAACUCUGAGACCGCGAGCGAUACUGAUGGAAUUGAGGUUUGCAGGGGCUAGCAGAAUUUCCAGAGUAGGGGUGAAAUCCGUUGAUACUGGAAGGAAUACCAAUGGCGAAGGCAGCUAGCUGGGCAACACCUGACACUGAGACGCGAAAGCGUGGGGAGCGAACGGG